UCGAAUUGCUGCUCCUGUUUUAAUCUUCACCUCACCCUCAUUCGUGGUCGCCUCCUCGCCCUCAAUUCAGUAAGUGCUACCCAAUUUUAGCUUUUUAUUCAUGCUUGUGGUAUACAUCUGGUAGAGCCGACCUUGGAGGCUCGGAAAGUUCUUUACCAUCUUGGAUAUCCGACCUCUUAGGUGAGAAAUCCUACAUGACGGACGAGUUUAACAUGAGUCCUUCCUCGCUCAGGAGUGACUUUUCUAGUUCGGAGGGUAGUCCCCUAGAGGUCUUUC
rnacentral:lncRNA from 1 species